GAUGAACGCUGGCGGCGUGCCUAAUACAUGCAAGUCGAGCGAACAGACGCGGAGCUUGCUCCUCUGACGUUAGCGGCGGACGGGUGAGUAACACGUGGAUAACCUACCUAUCAGACUGGGAUCACCUCGGAAAACCGGCGCUAAUACCGGAUAAUAUCUUGCACCGCAGUGUGCAUUAGUGAAAGACGGUUUUGCUGUAUCUUCUAGCUGGAUCCGCGCCGCAUUAGCUAGUUGGUAAGGUCACGGCUUACCAAGGGAACGAUGCGUAGCCGACCUGAGAGGGUGAUCGGCCGCACGGGAAGUGAGACACGGUCCAUACGCCUACGGGAGGCAGCAGUAGGGAAUGUUACGCAAUGGGCGAAAGCUUUACGGAGUAACGCCGCGUGAGUGAUGAAGGUCUUCGGAUCGGAAAACUCUGUUAUUAGGGAAGAACAAAUGUGGAAGUAACUAUGCACGUCGUGACGGUACCUAAUCAGAAAGCCACGGCUAACUACGUG
rnacentral:rRNA from 1 species